UCAUUCUAGAUACACUUUCCAGUACAUCUACUAUGUUACGACUUAUCUUACCUUAAUAAUAAGAGCGACGGGCGAUGUGUACAUAUUUUAGAGCUAAAAUCAAAUUAUUAAUCUUUAUAAUUUUACAACCAAAUCCACCUUCAAAAAUUUUUUCAUAAUUUUAUCCGUUUAAAUAAAUUUAUUGUAACCCAUUAUUACUUAAAUAUAAGCUACACCUUGAUCUGAUAUAAAUUCUUUUUAAAAUUAUUGAAUAUUAUUAUUCUUAUAAAAUAUUCUGAUAACGACGGUAUAUAAACUGAUUACAAACUUAAGUAAGGUCCAUCGUGGAUUAUCGAUUACAAAACAGGUUCCUCUGGAUAGACUAAAAUACCGCCAAAUUUUUUAAGUUUCAAGAACAUAACUAUUACUACUUAAGUAUU
rnacentral:rRNA from 1 species